rnacentral:piRNA from 1 species
CCCUUAGCUUAGCUCGGGAUGCCCUCUCC